rnacentral:rRNA from 1 species
GAUGAACGCUGGCGGCGUGCCUAAUACAUGCAAGUCGAGCGAACAGACGAGGAGCUUGCUCCUUUGACGUUAGCGGCGGACGGGUGAGUAACACGUAGGUAACCUACCUAUAAGACUGGGAUAACUUCGGGAAACCGGAGCUAAUACCGGAUAAUAUUUCGAACCGCAUGGUUCGAUAGUGAAAGAUGGCUUUGCUAUCACUUAUAGAUGGACCUGCGCCGUAUUAGCUAGUUGGUAAGGUAACGGCUUACCAAGGCAACGAUACGUAGCCGACCUGAGAGAGUGAUCGGCCACAUGAGAACUGAACCGCGGUCCAGACUCCUACGGGAGGCAGCAGUAGGGAAUCUUCCGCAAUGGGCGAAAGCAUGACGGAGCAGCGCCGCGUGAGAGAUGAAGGUCCUCGGAUCGUAAAACUCGGUUAUUAGGGAAGAACAAACGUGUAAGUAACUGUGCACGUCUUGACGGUACCUAAUCAGAAAGCCACGGCUAACUACGUG